CCUACGGGAGGCUGCAGUGAGGAAUAUUGGUCAAUGGGCGGAAGCCUGAACCAGCCAAGUAGCGUGCGGGAUGACGGCCCUACGGGUUGUAAACUGCUUUUAUACGGGAGUAAAGCGCCUCACGUGUAGGGCUUUGCGUGUACCGUGUGAAAAAGGAUCGGCUAAUUCCGUGCCAGCAGCCGCGGUAAUACGGAGGGUUCGGGCGUUAUCCGGAUUUAUUGGGGUUAAAGGGUGCGUAGGCGGAUGCUUAAGUGAGCGGUAAAAUGUCGGGGCUCAACCGGGCCGUGCCGUGGAGACUGGGGGCCUUGAGUGGGCGAGAAGCAAGCGGAAUGCGUGGUGUAGCGGUGAAAUGCGUAGAUAUGACGUAGAACCCCGAUUGCGAAGGCAGCGUACCGGAGCGCAACUGACGCUGAAGCACGAAGGCGUGGGUAUCGAACAGGAUUAGAUACCCUAGUAGUC
rnacentral:rRNA from 1 species